AAGUGACGUCCAACAAGGACUUCCGGAGUCGGCCUCGGAGCUGGGCUUCCUGGCGUUGGGGUUGGAGACUGUGUUGUCUUUGCGGUUUUAGUUAGCGAGCAGUUAGGGUGGAGUCGGCUUCGUGGAUUCCGCUCUCAAACCAGCAAGUGUGAUUUGAAUUCUAAAACACUGAGCUUUCCGAGUCGAAAGGUUCCAAGUUUAUUCCGACCUACGGAAGCCCAGGAGGACCAGGAUUACCUCUGCCAAUAGGUGCGUGCCGGGCCGCGAUGCGCGACCGUAAGACGCUGCGUUUCCGAAGCUGUCGCAGGCUCCCGGGUGCCAGAGCCGGAGAGGUACCCUCUGUCCAGGCCUCCCCUCUCAGCCCCCAGUUUUUUCCUACUUUUGCUUUUCAGGAGUCGCCCAGCACGACUUGAAAGGAGGAGAAGGGCCUGCUGGAAAGGAUGCUAGAGCCUGGCAGUGACCAUUUGGGGGCCCCUGGGCAUUCAGUUAACUUUUUGGGCCCCGUUUCCUUAUUACACUUGGCUCUAGAUUUGUUGUGCGUUUCGGUGAGAAACACCUGUACGUGGUGCUUCCUGGGCGCCUCCUCCCUACUUGUGAAAAAUCGUCUCCGUCUGAAACGAGGGAACUACUUUCCUAGCAAACUGCCGUUUUCCAUACUACUCACGCCCGCAAACCGUGUGUUACGAGUUCACAACGUUUUCUCCGUCAGUAAUCCCGCGUAUUACUCUCCCAACCCUUUCCCACUGAGUCUUGUGCUGAGAAAUGGUGGCUUAGCCACGCAAACGUUUACUGAGCAUCUACUAUUUGCUAGGCGCUGUUAGGCACCAUGCUGGCGGUGGAGGUAAAGAUGAGUAAGACAUUGGCCUUGCGCGGGAGGAGCUCCUGGUCCAAAGACGACCACAGAGGUAUACUACAAGAAUUGAGAGAGCUAAGGUCACCUCCAGCCUCCGCGGGAUAAAUGCUCUGCUGGAAUUCCUGAGCAGCACAGCCAGCCCCAGUUCUAAUUUGAGAACCUGGGGUGAUGAAUGGCAAGAAUGACAGAAAUGAAGACGUCUGUAGCACUAAGGACACCUUUUAACUGUGUCACAUUUGCCUAACUUUGCCUUAAAUGUAUCAUGGUAACUGAUAGUUUUGACUGAAAAAUAAAGAUCACUGAUAUGG